UGGUAAGGUUCUAAACCCAGACCUUCAUCUGAGGUGUCUCUGCUCUCUUCCUCAGGUCAGUCCUGCAUUCAUGCACUGAUGCAACCAGAAGGAGACGCUUGAAGGUUGGAGCCUCACAAAACAUCUUCGUCAUCAGCUGGAGGUGGCUCUGGAAGAACUCAUGAUGGAGUGAGGACAGAAGAUGCUGUAGAAGUUCAGUGGAAUAUUAAAUAUUAGUGAGGCUUCAGACUUACUGGAAGAACUCUUAGCACCUCCUCCAUCCAGAAACAUGUGGUUUGCUAUGAAGCUUCUCAACUUAUAGCUUGAACUAAAAACUAAGAGAAUAUGAAGAAGCCUAGUUCAUUCUCAGCAUACAAAACACAAACGUUAUCUAGACAGACAAACAGCACCCUGAAGAUCAAGGAACCCAACAGAGAGGUCAAGGAGGAGAAAGUGUUUCCGUUUAAAGCAGGGUGAGGUUCUACAGCAACAUCCCAAGCUUUGGACAUCUCAGAGUUCUGUUCAUCUGAACAUGGAGAGAGGACGGGUCACCUGCAGACCUACCAAGACAUGGAGGUCCACCUCGACAGACAGGCUGGGCAGAGAUAUUAAUCAGAGAAGCAACCAAGACAUCCAAGGUGACUCUGGAGGAGCAAGAAAACAACAGCAACCCGAGACUUCAUAUUUAUGCAUGAGACACAAACGAAACCUUAGAACAUUAUCUCUAUAAAUUCAGUUAGUUUUCGUCUUUUUGCAAAGUCUCAUUUUUAUUUUUUAUCUCAGUUAAUGAAAAUGUUUUUUUUACUUCUAGGUUUGGUUAUUUCGUUAGUUUUCAUUAAGGAUAAUCUCACUGCUGAGUAGAGAAUCUGUUAGGAGGAAUAAUGGAUGUUUUUUCUGUAUUUGUUUGAUUGUUUUUAGCAUUAUUUUAGUUGUAUGAUUUUUAUUGUUGCUUCACCAUAAUUUAAAAAUGAGCCACACCUGUCUGGAUGGAACAACCAAUCAGAACGCAGCUCUAGGUUUUUAAAGUACACAGCAGAGGGGGAGAGGAGCCCUCCUCCGCGAAGGCGCGGAUGACGACCAGCAUAAGAGAAUUGAGACCUCAGAACCAGGCCCAGAACCAGGAUCAAGGAGGGUCUGUAGGAAGCGCUGAAAGAAAUCCAGCAGCAGAAGAAGAGCAGCAGCAGUCGAGACCUCAGGAAGUGGGCCGAGCCCUAAAGUCUAAUCUUUGAUCUGGGUUUUAGUUGUUUCAUAUUUCUUAGCUGGAAUUUGGAUAUUUUUUUUUUUUUACAACUUUUUGUUUCUGGGAUUUAGUUGAUUUUCAUUUAGUUUUUAUUGUAAUAAACUUUUCAGCCAUUUUUAAA